GAUUGCAGGCUGAAACUCGCCUGUAUGAAGUCGGAAUUGCUAGUAAUCGCGGAUCAGCAUGCCGCGGUGAAUACGUUCCCGGGCCUUGUACACACCGCCCGUCACACCAUGAGAGUUGGCAACACCCGAAGUCAGUAGCCUAACCGCAAGGGGGCGCUGCCGAAGGUGGGGUUGAUGAUUGGGGUGAAGUCGUAACAAGGUACC
rnacentral:rRNA from 1 species